CAAUAGCGUAUAUUAAAGUUGUUGCAGUUAAAAAGCUCGUAGUUGGAUUUGUGGCGACUCGCCGUUCGUCCAUUUAUUUGGUUCUGAUUGGCGGGUUGCCAUCCUUGGGUGGAUGCUGUGCGGCAUUAGGUUGUCGUGCAGUGGAUGCCCAUCGUUUACUGUGAGAAAAUUAGAGUGUUCAAAGCAGGCUUAUGCCGUUGAAUAUAUUAGCAUGGAAUAAUAAGAUAGGUCUUUGGUCCUAUUUUGUUGGUUUGCGGUCCAUUGAAAUGAUUAACAGGGACAGUUGGGGGUAUUCGUAUUCCAUUGUCAGAGGUGAAAUUCUUGGAUUUCUGGAAGACGAACUACUGCGAAAGCAUUUACCAAGGAUGUUUUCGUUAA
rnacentral:rRNA from 1 species